CCUACGGGCGGCUGCAGUGGGGAAUAUUGCACAAUGGGCGCAAGCCUGAUGCAGCCAUGCCGCGUGUGUGAAGAAGGCCUUCGGGUUGUAAAGCACUUUCAGCGGGGAGGAAGGCGGUGAGGUUAAUAACCUCAUCGAUUGACGUUACCCGCAGAAGAAGCACCGGCUAACUCCGUGCCAGCAGCCGCGGUAAUACGGAGGGUGCAAGCGUUAAUCGGAAUUACUGGGCGUAAAGCGCACGCAGGCGGUCUGUCAAGUCGGAUGUGAAAUCCCCGGGCUCAACCUGGGAACUGCAUUCGAAACUGGCAGGCUAGAGUCUUGUAGAGGGGGGUAGAAUUCCAGGGGUAGCGGUGAAAUGCGUAGAGAUCGGGAGGAAUACCGGUGGCGAAGGCGGCCCCCUGGACAAAGACUGACGCUCAGGUGCGAAAGCGUGGGGAGCAAACAGGAUUAAUACCCGGGUAGUC
rnacentral:rRNA from 1 species